AUUGAACGCUGGCGGCAGGCCUAACACAUGCAAGUCGAGCGAGCGGCGGGGGUGAGAGUAAUGUAUGGAGCUGCGCGCGAGAGAGGGGGAUAAAUAAUGGAAACGGGGGCUAAUACCGCAAAAUAGAGGAUGAACCCAUAUGGGAUUAGCUAGUAGGGGGGGUAAAGGCUCACCUAGGCGACGAUCUAUAGCUGGUCUGAGAGGAUGAUCAGCCACACUGGAACGGAGACACGGUCCAGACUCCUACGGGAGGCAGCAGUGGGGAAUAUUGCACAAUGGGCGCAAGCCUGAUGCAGCCAUGCCGCGUGUAUGAAGAAGGCCUUAGGGUUGUAAAGUACUUUCAGCGGGGAGGCGUUACCCGCAGAAGAAGCACCGGCUAACUCCGUGCCAGCAGCCGCGGUAAUAC
rnacentral:rRNA from 1 species